GUGCUCGCUUCGGCAUCACAUAUACUAAAAUUGGAAUGAUACAGAGAAGAUUAGCAUGGCCCCUGCGCAAAGAUGACACACAAAUUCGUGAAGCGUUCCACAUUUAA
ensembl:snRNA U6 U6 spliceosomal RNA